GUCUCUAUGAAGUUAUAUGAAGUCUGACCUGCCCAUUGAAAUUUAUUAAAAGGCCGCGGUAUAUUAACUGUGCAAAGGUAGCAUAAUUAGUAGUUUUUUAAUUGAAGGCUUGUAUGAAAGGUUGGACAAGGGAUAAGCUGUCUUUAUUUUUAUUUUUGAAUUUGUCUUUUAAGUGAAAAGACUUAAAUAAGUUUAAGGGACGAUAAGACCCUAUAAAUCUUUAUAUUAGUUUAAUUUUAUUUUAAAUUUUAAUGUUUAAAAGAGUAAAGUUAAUAUAGUAUUGUAUUGGGGUGAUAGGAAUAAUUAGUAAACUGUUCGAAGGUAUAAACAAAAAUAUUUGAUUAUAAUUAUUAGUAGAUCCUUAGUGGAGAUUACAAGUUUAAGUUACUUUAGGGAUAACAGCGUUAUUUUUUUUGAGAGUUCUAAUCGAAAAAGAAGUUUGCGACCUCGAUGUUGAAUUAAAAUUUCUUUGUGGUGUAGUAGUCACAAGAGAGAGUCUGUUCGACUUUU
rnacentral:rRNA from 1 species